AGUUGCCCAGAGCCUGAGAAGCGGGAUCCCAAGUUCAAUAAGAACGCCUGGAGGCCAGACCUUGCGAAAUCCGCAAAUGGGGUGCCUGCAGAGAGAAAGGAUGUUUCUCUCAGUUAUUGGACCAGCUCCUGCCUUCAUGCCACCAUGCUCCCCACUAUGAUAAUGGACUACACCUAUGAAAAUGUGAGCAAGCCCCAGUAAAAUGUCUUCUUUGGUUGUGGCUCAUAAUCAUCUGUAAUGGGAUAUGAUGGACUCUUCUGGUGUGUCUGGGGACAGCAACAGUGUACUCAUACAAUCAAUCAAUCAAUCAAUCAAUAAAUAAAUGCAGAUUCAGUGGGCAAUGUAGCACCACAGUGUCCUGUGACAAACA
rnacentral:lncRNA from 1 species